rnacentral:tRNA from 1 species
GCCGAGGUGGUGAAAUUGGCAGACACGCUAGCUUCAGGAGCUAGUUCCCGCAAGGGAGUGAGGGUUCAAAUCCCUCCCUCGGCA